UUACGGUCAUAUUACUUUGAAAUACCGGUUGCCAUACGAUCACCGAAGUUAAACAAAGUCGAACCUGGUCAGUGCCUAGAUGGGUAACUGCUUGGGGAUAUCAGGUGCUGUAA